AAUGAACGUUGGCGGCGUGGAUUAGGCAUGCAAGUCGUGCGGCAGCAGGCCCCGCAAGGGGUGCUGGCGAGCGGCGAAAGGGUCAGUAACACGUGGAUAACCUACCCCCGGGCCCGGAAUAGCGGCGGGAAACUGCCGGUAAUGCCGGAUAAUGUCCCUGGACCAAAGGUGUGAUUCCGUCCGAGGAUGGGUCCGGGUCCUAUUAGCUAGUUGGUGAGGUAACGGCCCACCAAGGCAAAGAUGGGUAGGGGGUGUGAGGGCAUGACCCCCGACACUGGGACUGAGACACUGCCCAGACACCUACGGGUGGCUGCAGUCGAGAAUCUUCGGCAAUGGGCGCAAGCCUGACCGAGCGACGCCGCGUGCGGGAUGAAGGCCUUCGGGUUGUAAACCGCUGUCAGAGGGGCGGAAAUAUGUUGGAGUUCUCUCCAGCAUUUGACUUAACCUCAGAGGAAGCAUGGGCUAAGUUCGUGCCAGCCGCCGCCGUAACAC
rnacentral:rRNA from 1 species